rnacentral:misc_RNA from 1 species
GAAAAUUGCAGUAAUUAAUAAAUUUUAGUUUGGGCAAUAAUAGAUUAUCAUAGAUAAACAAUAAUAGUAUUGCAUAUAUCAUCAAAUAUAUAACACAAAUACAGCAUAAAGUCAGUAUGUCCUCUGAAAAUUUAGAACUUCAUAGUCAUCUGAUGCAAACAAUAAGAAGCUCAAGAAAAAUCAAGAUCUAAGACUCGAGAAACCUAGGAUUAUGGUCCAGAACUCUAGAUUUCAUAAAGGGUUCAAUUAAAACAUUGUUGAGUACUUUUUACUCUAUUGUGUCUUAUAUAACUGUUUAUUUUCAUAAAUUAGCAGCUGGUAGAGUGUAUUGCAACUUUAAGACCUUAGGGGCACUUCUUUACAAAUUUUAUCUUUGCAGUAAUGGGUUGACUGAAUCAUUUAUGUACUUAUUUAUAUAUUUAUAUUAAUUUUGAGCACUUGUUCAUCAAUGAAUACAUUAAUCCUUUUAGUUUUGAUGGGAGUACAAAGAAUUAUUAGGUUUAGGAAUUGAAUAUCUUAAAAAGUAAAUUUCCAGUAAUUAAUGCUAUUUCAAUAAUAGGUGCAAUGCCUGAGUAAUUCUAAAUGUAAAACUUAGUAUGCUAUCACUUUUCUUCAAGUUUGCAAGCAGAUUUCCUUAUAAUUCAUAUCUGAAUUCUUCCCUGAAUAAAUAAAUAUUGUUCACAAUGCCACACCUCAAUUGCAAACUUUGACUAAAACUUUUCUUUUCUUGUACUAUUCUGC